rnacentral:rRNA from 1 species
GGACUACCGGGGUUUCUAAUCCCGUUCGCUCCCCUGGCUUUCGCGCCUCAGCGUCAGUAGAGAUCCAGCACGUCGCUUUCGCCACCGGCGUUCCUUCCGAUAUCUACGCAUUUCACCGCUCCACCGGAAGUUCCACAUGCCCCUACCUCCCUCAAGACAAUCAGUAUCAGGGGCACUUUUCCGGUUGAGCCGAAAGAUUUCACCCCUGACUUGAUCGCCCGCCUACGCGCCCUUUAAGCCCAGUGAAUCCGAACAACGUUCGCACGGUUCGUCUUACCGCGGCGGCUGGCAC